rnacentral:rRNA from 1 species
GGGUGUGUAAGCGCAGCGAUGCGUUGAGCUAACCGGUACUAAUGAACCGUGAGGCUUAACCUUACAACGCCGAAGGUGUUU